GGCGUCGGUAUUCGACGUCAUAAACACGAUCAACUAUAGUGUUGAUGACGUCGAUGUUCGACGUCAUAAACACGAUCAACUUAGAUAUUUAUGACGUUGAUAUUCGACGUCAUAAACACGAUCAACUUAUAUUUUUAUGACGUUGAUAUUCGUUGUCAUAAACAGAAUCAACUUAGAUAUUUAUGACGUUGAUAUUCAACGUCAUAAACACGAUCAACUUAGAUGCUUAUGACGUCGAUAUUCGACGUCAUCAACACGAUCAACUUUGGUGUUUAUGACGUUGAUAUUCGACGUC